UACAGAGGUCUCGAGCGUUGUUCGGAUUCAUUGGGCGUAAAGGGUGCGUAGGUGGUCGUGUAAGUCGGAUGUGAAAUCCCGGGGCUCAACCCCGGAACUGCAUUCGAUACUGCGCGGCUUGAGUACUGGAGAGGAGAUCGGAAUUUACGGUGUAGCAGUGAAAUGCGUAGAUAUCGUAAGGAAGACCAGUGGCGAAGGCGGAUCUCUGGACAGUUACUGACACUGAGGCACGAAGGCCAGGGGAGCAAACGGG
rnacentral:rRNA from 2 species